GAUGGAUGUCUGUCUAACUUUGUAGGGGUUAUGUGAGGCAAAUCCUUGCAUUAUAAAUCCCUGAUGAAGGACGGGGACUGUGCAGCGAUGCAUGGGAACUUGGAGGAGCCGUACUGCCAAGAAAGAGCCGCUCAGGGAGGUUAUUUGUUGCCCGUACCGGAAAUCGACACAGGUGGACGAGGGUAGUACCCAAAGGCGCACAAGAGAACCCCUGUUAAGGAACUCGGCAAAAUGCACGUGUAACUUCGGGAUAAGCGUGGCCUCAAGUAGGUGAUGGGGAGAAACCGAAGCUGAAAGAGGUUGCAAAAAAGAGGCUCUGGCGACUGUUUACCAAAAACACAGAUCUCUGCUAAGACUUAAGUCUAAGUAUAGGGAUUGAGACCUGCCCGGUGCCAGAAGGUUAAAGAAGGGGGUCAACGGGGUAACCCGUGAAGCUCUUGACUGAAGCCCUGGUAAACGGCGGCUGUAACAAUAACAGUCCUAAGGUAGCGAAAUUCCUUGUCGGGUAAGUUCCGACCUGCAUGAAUGGUAUAACGACUGGAGCGCUGUCUCAACAGGGGACAUGGUGAAAUUGAAGUAUCGGUGCAAAUACCGAUUACCCGCAGCUAGACGGUAAGACCCUGUGAACCUUUACUGUACCCUGGCAUUGUAUUCUGGCACGUUCUGUGUAGGAUAGGUGGGAGGCUAUGAAGCGUGGGCGCCAGCUUGCGUGGAGCCAACCUUGAAAUACCACCCUUAACGUGUCGGACUACUAACGGAUGCUGUGGAAGCAUCUAGACAGUGCCAGGCGGGCAGUUUGACUGGGGCGGUCACCUCCCAAAGUGUAACGGAGGUGUACGAAGGUUCCCUCGAGCUGUAUAGAAAUCAGCUGAAAGAGCGUAAAGGUAUAAGGGAGCUUGACUGCGAGAGAGACAUCUCGAGCAGGGACGAAAGUCGGUCUUAGUGAUCCGGUGGUUUUUGUAUGGAAAAGCCAUCGCUUAACGGACAAAAGGUACUCCGGGGAUAACAGGCUGAUACCGCCCAAGAGUUCACAUCGACGGCGGUGUUUGGCACCUCGAUGUCGGCUCAACUCAUCCUGGGGCUGAAGUAGGUCCCAAGGGUUCGGCUGUUCGCCGAUUAAAGAGUUACGUGAGCUGGGUUCAGAACGUCGUGAGACAGUUCGGUCCCUAUCUACUGUGGGCGCUGGAUAUUUGAGGGGAGCUGUUCCUAGUACGAGAGGAUCGGAAUGGACGUACCUCUGGUGCACCAGUUGUCGUGCCAACGGCACAGCUGGGUAGCUAUGUACGGAAGGGAUAACCACUGAAAGCAUCUAAGUGGGAAGCCUCCCCCAAGAUUAGAUAUCCCUUAAGGUUCCAGGUAGACUACCUGGUUGAUAGGUCACAGGUGUAAGUACAGUAAUGUAUUCAGCCGAGCGAUACUAAUAAACCGUUUGACUUGCCCCU
rnacentral:rRNA from 1 species